rnacentral:rRNA from 1 species
GUGUCAGCAGCCGCGGUAAGACAGAGGUGGCAAGCGUUGUUCGGAGUUACUGGGCGUAAAGCGCACGUAGGCGGUUGGAUAAGUCCUGUGUGAAAUCCCCCCGCUCAACGGGGGAACGGCAUGGGAUACUGUCCGGCUAGAGGGUUGGAGAGGAGAGUGGAAUUCCCGGUGUAGCGGUGAAAUGCGUAGAGAUCGGGAGGAACACCUGUGGCGAAGGCGGCUCUCUGGACAACCCCUGACGCUCAAGUACGAAAGCGUGGGGAGCAAACAGGAUUAGAAACCCUCGUAGUCC